UCUUGCAUCAACACUCCUACACAAAUGUCUCUGCUAUUCAUUCAAUAACUGGUCAUCAACCUCCACCCCCAAACACAACUGUCAGGUCUAUGUCGUUCCCAAGUAGGCAGGUCGGUGACCCUCAAGAGGAAAGGGAGUGUGUGGGCCUGUCCGUCUCCAAGGCCUCGCCACACAACAGUCCCUCAGCGGUUUCGCUGUUAUGCGACGUCUUUACCCCGGGAUGUUCCGGGGAGUCAAUCCCUCCCCGCCCUAGGCUACGCCGGGAGCGGCCCGCAGCUGAUCCGAACUUUCUGCCGGGCCUCCUUUCUCAUUCCUCGGGUUCGGCAGUGCCACACCCGCCACGCGAUUGGUAUCGUAGGAGGGCCUCGCUUGACUACGGCGACUCGUUACUCAUGGGUGAGGAUUUACGCGUGUCCUUCCGGAGGCCACACAUCACUUCCCUUGCUCCGCCCAGUUUAGAGACCUGCGCACCCGCCAGGGCGUGAGAGAGACUACCCGGCGCGCGGGGACGCCCCUGCAUGCCCGCACUUCUGCCCCGUCCCGCCCAUCGUUGCGAGGCCGCGGGCCAAUCAGAUCGUGCCUUGCCUCUACGCCCCCGGCUCCCCAGAACUUCUGUCCUCCUUUCAGGGCGACUUUGGGAACACAAUAGUCGACUCGCCGACGUUCCCUUAGACGCGUUGCCAUACGUCGUCACCCAUAGAAACGGCUUUCCGCGGGGCAGACUCCGAGCCUCGCCUGUGUGAGCGGGCGGGGGUAGCAGGAAAGGCUGUUUUUCAUUUCCAAGAGAAAACCGUCACCCCGCCCACCUCGAACCUCCUCCCAACAUCUCAGGAUAGAAACGCCGCGCUCAGAAAGAUACAAGUCUUCUCAUUGGAAAUGUUAACCAAGAUGAAUGAAAUGGAAACCAACACCUGGACAUGUCAUGGUGAAAUGUUAGAACACUGGGCACGAAGGUGUCACCAUCAAGUUUGCUGUUUAAAAUAUUUGCCUGAAACUCAUGAAAGAGGUAAGGAUUCAUGGAUCAUCACCUUGUAAAUGGCAGCUGAAACAUGAUUGCAAAUGACAUUGCCAAUUCUGUAGCCAGCCCAUACUACUCCCUGGUUCCAAAUACCUUGUAC
rnacentral:lncRNA from 1 species